rnacentral:lncRNA from 1 species
CUCAUCGUUCGCCUAUUGUUUUCAGAGAAAUGCUUUCCAGAGAUUCCUGCUGAAUUAGGAUACUGAGGCAGAUCUGAAAUUGCCGUGCACAGGCAGGAGAUGUCACCGCUGAAGUACUCCUGAAGUUAUCCACUAGGAACAGAUGACUGGGAGCUGACAUCGAGUGGCAGAGUACUGGAACAUCCUGCCUAGAUUGAUUGAGGAGAUUCCUUGUCUGGAGAUAUUCAAGACCUGUCUGGAUGCCUACCUGUGCAGCGUGCUGUAGGGACCGUGCUUUAGCAAAGAGGUUGAACUCAAUGGUCUCUAGAGGUCCCUUCCAACCCCUACAAUUCUGUGAGUCUGUGAGAAUUUAAUUGAGCUGGGAAUUUUUGCCACUGAAUCUCCAAGGAAGAUCCUUACACCUCAAAGUGCAGGACCACCUGAAGUUUUAGAAAUGCUUCCUAGUCUUCAUCUACUGGCAAACUAUUCAGGAGGCACAACUCAGGUGGUAGCAUGGCUACUGCUUACACUGACAGCGGGAUGAGAGAGUUUACAUUUCCUCCUGGAUUUUCCAGGUAAUCAGUAGAGAAGUCAGUUCCACAACAUGAUUAAAUCAGGUAAUUUUUUAUUUAAUAAAUCAUCUUCCCUCUAGAAUAAGUCACUUAAGUGGUCAUGUCUAGACUUGUAAUUGAAAUCCCUCUGGAAUUUGGCUGAGGAAAGUUACUGGCCAUACUAAAAGGCAGUGACUUUGCAUCUAAGCAAUGUGCAAAACAGCUGAACCAAACACAGAGUUGUAGACUACUUUACUGAACAAGUACAAGUACUGCUUUCAAAUGAACCAUAUUUUUCUUUUCCUUUCUUGGAUGUGGCAAUCAGUGAAAUAGAAUCCUAACAACUUAUGCA